UACGGGGGGGGCAAGCGUUGUUCGGAAUUACUGGGCGUAAAGGGCUUGUAGGUGGCCAACUAAGUCAGACGUGAAAUCCCUCAGCUUAACUGGGGAACUGCUUCUGAUACUGGAUGGCUUGAGUUUGGGAGAGGGAUGCGGAAUUCCAGGUGUAGCGGUGAAAUGCGUAGAUAUCUGGAGGUACACCGGUGGCGAAGGCGGCAUCCUGGACCAACACUGACACUGAAAAGCGAAAGCCAGGGGAGCAAACGGG
rnacentral:rRNA from 1 species